UGUUGCAGGAGCUGGAAGAGAGAGGACCAUGUUCCUGGCUGGCUGAAAGAGCAGCAGGACCAUGGACAGCUCAAUGCAGGGACCAGGGGCUCCUGGCUGGCUGUGGGGAUUGAGCCAGAACUGAACCUAGGUAGGGCUGCAGGAAAACAGAGCCUCCAAGGAAAAAGCACGGGGGGAGGGGGCAUGGUCCCAUACCAGAGCCAAGAGAAGGUAAAGACUGUAUAUUCUGGAAGGGGUUUGUUCUGUUCCACCUACAGACAGUGUGUGUGUGUGUGUGUGUGUGUGUCUGCGGCUGAGUCACUGAAGAAACCAUUGGCCAAGGACAGGAGACACUCACAAGAUCUGGGUGCCCCGUUCCACAAACUGUGAGACUGCAGGUGCAUGCACUUGACCAGUGUGAGGUCAAAAGUAAUUAAAUGAUACAAUGGAACUAUGUAAAGAACUGUCAAAAAUGUAAACAACAUGAGACCCCAACAAACAAACAAACAAAAGGAAUGUAGCUGCUUCAUAGCAAAGCAAGACAUACAAUGUAACCUACAAAAUAACUAUUGCUAGGACUCUAGUUCAGUGAAAUGGAGAUACAAAUGAAUCCAGGCAAGCUCACCUGAGUAGCUGCAGACUGACAGGAAGAGGAGGAAGAUGAUGAGACAACAGGAAUAUCAGACUGGACAGCAGCCACAGUGGUAGCAGGAGUAAAAAUCAGCUGGGAAGACAGAAAAAGAAAACUGAAGAAUAGACAAUUUACAGAUAAAAACAAAUAGUCAGAGCAAGGAGGUGAACAGAGGCACAAAGUCAAGAAAGUAGAGUCAGAUAAAGUUACGGAAUGAAGCAGAAACAGAACCGGACACGUCUUGACUCUUAAGAGUCUGCUCAGACAACUGGACUACACUGUCUCAAAAUGAAUUUUCAAAUUAGAGAAUGUCAUGUUUACUAACAUAAAUAAAUGACUUUUCAAGUAUACAUUAAGUGUUUUGUGGGGAAAAAAGUGUCACAGCUAGAGACUUAAAUCUCUGUUCGUUAAGAGAACGUAUACCAUACAGAUAACACCAAUGUAAGCUUCCCCAAAAAGCGCCACCAAUAUGUCUCAGUCAUGACCUGCAAGGUCUUUCUCUAGGGACAGUUCAGACUCUGUCCAUUCUAUCCUCUCUAGAGCCAGGUGCUGAGAUUGCCAAUAAAGAUUGCAAAUGAGUUCUAAUGGUGGAGGGGGGGGGGGGUUGGUGUUGUAUAUUUCAGUUCAUCCCACUGCAAGAGCCAGAAUAAUUUGUAGGCGUAAUACUAGAAUUCCUCAGAAGAAUUACUCUUGCAAAAAAGGCAAGAAAGAGUGCUUUUAAAGGAUAGCCAAAGAGGUUGAGGAGGAUAACCACUCUGAACUAAGCAGACGACAUGUCUGUUAAAAUGAGACCAUGGAACAGUUAAUUCAACAAACAAGGUUUCAUAAACAAAAACGUAACGGCCCAAACCCAAGGUUAUGAUUCAGGAAAAAGUCUUCAAAAUUGGGCCCUUUAACAGAGUCCUGUCCCUUUAAGGCCAAAGAAAGUAAUGUGAGAGACCAGUCACCCCAUUCCAUGUGUCUAGGGAUGGCAGAGGAAGGCUGAAGGACCACAAACAGCUCAGAGGAAGAUCGUCUCAGAAUAAUUAGUGUCUGAAGGGGGCAGGGAUAGGAAAACCCAGGUAAUUGCUCUCGGUGGCAGCGGGAAGGCCCAGGCCCAUCAGCCUUGUAGAGUGAGAGGAGCAAGGCUCUCCCUCCAGGUGUUUAGGAUAAUUAGACCCACAUGGGAAAGGUCAAGGGAGUGGUCAGAUGAUGGGGAUGGAUGACUCAAAAAACAAAGGUUCCAAGCCCAGUCAGGGAGAGCUUGCUGAAGGGAGGAUUUAGAGGAUACACAGUCCCACAAGGAAGGUUGUGAAAAGCCCUGAACUAAACAGGGGAGUUUGCGGAUGGAGGAAGCCAGCACUUGAAGCACACAAUCGCAGAAAGGAGGACUUGGGGGCCCCGAACCUAGGGUUGGAUGAAAAGGCAGCUCUUUUGAGAGCUGGGUUAAUGUUUAAUUAAUUAGAACCCAAAAGAGUGAGAAUAUUGUUCCUAAAGACUUUGGAGUGUAAAUGAAUUGUAUUUGGAAACUGAGGUAGGGGACUGCACUGAGAUGCCAUGCUGCAUGAGUGUGUGCUUGGAUACUAAAGAGACAUGAAAGCGUAUCUUCCGCACUUUCCACAUCACAUCUGAAUCUCCCAAGAUUCAGUAAAUAGCUGCUCUCAAAUAUCUAAAAGGGAACUGAAAUGAAAAACUGCUGAUAUUUUAUUACUGCUGUACACUACAAUACCUUACAUUAUUUACUUGAGUGUCAAAUGUUGAAAUACCAAUAUCACUGGCAUUGGGGGGAAAAAAACCUAAGUAAAUUAGCUGUUCACAAUAGCUAGACAACACAUACUGAAAAGUUAAAUAGACAUACAUGUUGUGACGUUAUCUGAUUAAAAUAUGACCAUGCAAAUC